rnacentral:rRNA from 1 species
AUACGUAGGGGGCGAGCGUUGUCCGGAAUGAUUGGGCGUAAAGGGCGCGUAGGCGGCGCGGUAAGUCUGGAGUGAAAGUCCUGCUUUCAAGGUGGGAAUUGCUUUGGAAACUGGCAGACUUGAGUGCAGUAGAGGCAAGUGGAAUUUCUAGUGUAGCGGUUAAAUGCGUAGAUAUUAGAAGGAACACCAGUGGCGAAGGCGGCUUGCUGGGCUGUUACUGACGCUGAGACCCGAAAGCGUGGGGAGCAAAUAGGAUUAGAUACCCUAGUAGUCCACGCCGUAAACGAUGAGUACUAAGUGUCGGGUAACCGGUGCUGAAGUUAACACAUUAAGUACUCCGCCUGAGUAGUACGGUCGCAAGGCUGAAACUUAAAGGAAUUGACGGGG